rnacentral:tRNA from 1 species
GCCCUGGUGGCACAACAGUAAGCGUGCUUGGCUGCUAACCAAAAGGUUGGUCGUUUGAACCUACUCAGUGGCU